CCUACGGGAGGCAGCAGUGAGGAAUAUUGGUCAAUGGACGAGAGUCUGAACCAGCCAAGUCGCGUGAAGGAUGACUGCCCUAUGGGUUGUAAACUUCUUUUAUAUGGGAAUAAAACGUUCCACGUGUGGGAUUUUGUAUGUACCAUAUGAAUAAGGAUCGGCUAACUCCGUGACAGCAGCCGCGGUAAUACGGAGGAUCAGAGCGUUAUCCGGAUGUAUUGGGUUGAAAGGGAGCGUAGGUGGAUUGUUAAGUCAGUUGUGAAAGUUGGCGGCUCAACCGUAAAAUUGCAGUUGAAACUGGCAGUCUUGAGUACAGUAGAGGUGGGCGGAAUUCGUGGUGUAGCGGUGAAAUGCUUAGAUAUCACGAAGAACUCCGAUUGCGAAGGCAGUUCACUGGACUGCAACUGACACUGAGGCUCGAAAGUGUGGGUAUCAAACAGGAUUAGAUACCCGAGUAGUC
rnacentral:rRNA from 1 species